UUCUUUUGCAUUUUCGCACCGCUCAAUUACUUGAACCACCAAGUGCGCCAUUUCCGUACCAUAUGCUCCAAAGGCGUAUAUGCAUAUACAUAUAUAUGUAUGUAUAUAUAUGUAUGUGUAU